UGACAGUUUUUCUGUUGAGUUCUGCACAGGGAAGAUGAAGUGUCAGGAGUUGGCGGAAGAGCACUGAUGAAAAGGGGCAGAAAUGAUGACAAGGAAAUAUGCUGAAGAACACCACCACCACAGCGGCCUUGGGCAGCAUGCCAGUCCUCUUCUGAAAGUGUUCCCCAGACUCGGGAAGAUGCCUGGACCCCAAGCUGACAGCCUGUCAGCGGUCCUGGGGAAAGGGGGGGCCAAUGAUGAAGGGCAGCCACAUGACCUAAGGUGCAACCUAUGAGGAAGGCUGUAACGGUUUGUGAGCGUGCGAGAGAGGAGGACCAGGGUGCAGUCGCCAUGGGCAAACCCCCUCCCUCUCAUCCUUCUGAGGCCUCCCUCCCAAGGACCAAUAGCAUUGUGGUGGUCUGUCAGUGCUGCAGUAACAUUCCAGGUUGAGACUGCUACAGGAGGCAACCGCUAUAGAAAGACUGGAAGGAGCCACAUCCAUUGUCUUGCAAAUGUGUGAUGAUGGGUCACACCUUUUCCUGUGAUGUCUUCCUGAUGGCUUCCAUUCAUCACACUUCAGAAUGGGUACCAAAGCUGGAUUGUUUCCAAGAAGGAGUGCUUCUGGAUUGUGAAGAGGAGAAGUGCAUCUGGGCCCCAAAAUGGACUGGACAUUGGACAAUGACAUUGCAGCAGGGGCACAGGUGAUUUUUCCCAGCCCAUUUCAUGUUGGAGACUGAGCUUGGAUGGACAUUUCAGGAAGACAGUAGAGGCUGCCAUGAUGGUCAAUCCAACACCUGAGGAGAACUGCCUGGAAGACACCUACAGUUAAGACUCUGGGGGGAAGGAGGGAGGGCAGAAGAAACUCAACCAGUUUUUGCUGUUAAGCAUCUCUGGGGGGGGAUGGGGGGUUGGGUGGCAUGUACAAAUGUUGCUGUUUUGCAUACAGUGCUGUUGAACAGAGUGUUCAUUUUUUCUAUUUGCUUCUCUGGAAUUCCCUGCUGGAACAGACAGAGUUCUGAGAGAGCUGGGAUAUGGGGGGGGGGGAAGAGUUAUGAGAUACUUCAGCGAACAACUGGUUGUGGGGGGUUUUCUGGGCUAUAUUAUGUUUAUUUGUAUUUGUGUAUAUGAUGUCUUCUUAUAAUGUAUAAAAGUUCUGCAGUUGCAAUAAAGGUUAACUGACACUUUAA